ACCGAUAAUGACAAUGAAGGCAGGCUACCAACUCCUCAGCCAAAGGCACACGGGACUUCCUACAGACCGGAGGAGGAGCAUUUCACAGGGAUCCCCUCCCCCUCAACUCUCACAAACCAGCAGGAGACUCAAGUGCUCUCCUGGCCUCAUUAGUUUCCUAGUUUUGUUUUUAGCUGCUCAUUGCUGCUCAAAAGCCCAGGUAUUAGCUGAGGCUGGACCAGGAACCGGAGGCAGCAGCUUUAUUCCUUUGAAUGCUACGGCUCGUUUUCAGAAUAACUGAAGCACAGCUAACAAUGCACUAUUUGAUCGCUCUGAAUGACUCUCACCCACAGCACUGGGCGAGAGGAGCCCUUGGCCAGAGCUGCACACCAGAAACCUGUUUCCCAGCCUCUUCCAUUAGCCCGCCGACCCUUUCCUCAGAGCCCUCAGCAUACUGUACAAAGAUCUCCGUUCUCUCCCUUAAAUAUCACGGGAAGCUCACAUCAAAACACCAGACCCUUUUCUUCCUGGAAUGCUGCCAAUUUAAUACUUUCAGGCUCACAUAAAUUUAAUUAAACUCACUUAUCUUUUAAGCUCCCCCAUCCCCCAAACCACCUCUUGUCACCUCUCCACAGUAAAACCUUUCAAAAUAGGACUUUCUCUUUGCUUUUCAGCCAAAAAUGUCAUGCAGGCUUUACUUUAAGGCUAUAGCCAUCAGAUGUGCGCUACAAUAAGUCAGUCAGUAGGACCCAUGCAUUAAAAUGCCCACAAGCCCUUG
rnacentral:lncRNA from 1 species